AGAUUGCAGGCUGCAACUCGCCUGUAUGAAGUUGGAAUUGCUAGUAAUCGCGGAUCAGCAUGCCGCGGUGAAUACGUUCCCGGGCCUUGUACACACCGCCCGUCACACCAUGAGAGCCGGUAAUACCCGAAGUCAGUGUCCUAACCGCAAGGAGGGAGCUGCCGAAGGUAGGAUUGGCGAUUGGGGUGAAGUCGUAACAAGGUAAC
rnacentral:rRNA from 1 species